GUGUUCACUUCAGCAGCACAUAAAUUAAAAUUGAAAGGAUACAGAGAAGACUGGCAUGGCCCCUGCUCAAGGAUGACUCCCAAAUUUGUGAAGCGGUCCAUAUUAAA
rnacentral:snRNA from 1 species